CCAAUAAUAACAAAGAAAUUAUAUAGUCCUUGAUUUGUAAUGCCGUUAGAUGGCUCGUUUCAGGUGCUAAAAAGUUCGUAGACACAGACGAUUCUUCUAAAAUUAAAGAAAGGGGGGAAGUUGAAUCUUGUUCCAAAAACAAAUCGAACCGUAUCACGUUUCACUUCGCCGCACGCAACGCCACCUCGCUGAAUACAAUCGAAAAUACAUUUUUAUAGUAACAUAUGAUGAAAUGGAAAGUAAUUUGGUGCAAAUUAAUGUAAUUAGGUGCAAAUCUAUAAUUAUGCAAAUGAACACAAGUGCACAACGCAUGUCUACAACGUAUAUUUAUACUUGUUAAUUAAAAAGUCAAACUGUCAAACCUUUAACCUGUCCUUGUUUAUAUUCCAAUGGAUUGUAUAAAUUCGCUGGGUCCAAACGUUUGGGUUUUCGAGUCGUUACACAAAGAAAAAUACAUUAAUUCAACAAGCAAGAGAGUCCAGAGUGCGACACAACGUAUUUUCCAUAGGAAACCGGCACAAGUCUUUGAAAAUUCAAUGAAACUGUGUGAAAUAUAUAUUAGAUCGCUCAGAGAAAAGCCGCCAUUUUGAAACUGAACUGAAUAUGUCUCUAGAGCAAUCUAUCCUUGGAGUUCGGAAUUGUGCGCGUGCGUACAAGGGUACACGCUAAUAAACGAAAAAUGUACCACAAGCAUGGCAUGAGCCGGCUAUUACGUACAUAAAUACAUGUAAUCUUAUUACUAUACUAUGUAAAUCAUGGGACCGAGGAAUCGAUGGGAUUUUGGCUUAAUCGUUGCACCCUGAGCCUGCGAUGAGCAGUAACGCAAACUCGAUUUCUCGACUACGAAAAAAACAGGAAAAAACAGAAAAAGAGGGUUUUAAGACACUUGGCCUACAGGCCAGUGUAAUAAGUACCAAGGUUCGAAAAUUAAUUUAUGUCAUCAAUUCAUGAACUUUGACACAACACUAUGGUUACCAACACCUGAAACGCUAAUCCUUUCACACAUCGUGAGGUAUAAAAAAAAAACUGAACAGAUUUGAAAUUGC